rnacentral:rRNA from 1 species
GAUGAACGCUAGCGGCAGGCCUAAUACAUGCAAGACGAACGGUGAGUUGAGUAGCAAUACUUAGCCAAGAGUGUCGUACGGGUGCGUAACACGUAUGCAACCUACCCUAUACAGGAGGAUAGCCUAGGGAAACCUGGAUUAACCCUUCAUAGUAUUAUUGGAUGGCAUCAUUUGAUAAUUAAAACUAGAGGUGGUAUAGGAUGGGCGAUGCGUCUGAUUAGUUAGUUGGCGGGGUAAGUGGCCCACCAAGACGAUGAUCAGUAGGGGGUUCGUGAGAGGAAGAUCCCCACCACUGGCACUGAGAUACGGGCCAGACUCCUACGGGAGGGCAGCAGUAGGGAAGU